rnacentral:rRNA from 1 species
CAGCAGCCGCGGUAAAACGUAGGGUGCGAGCGUUGUCCGGAAUUACUGGGCGUAAAGGGCUCGUAGGAGGUUUGUCGCGUCGUCUGUGAAAUUCUGGGGCUUAACUCCGGGCGUGCAGGCGAUACGGGCAUAACUUGAGUGCUGUAGGGGUAACUGGAAUUCCUGGUGUAGCGGUGAAAUGCGCAGAUAUCAGGAGGAACACCGAUGGCGAAGGCAGGUUACUGGGCAGUUACUGACGCUGAGGAGCGAAAGCAUGGGUAGCGAACAGGAUUAGAUACCCCUGUAGUCCCUGUCUCUUAUA